rnacentral:sRNA from 1 species
UCAUAGACAGAACCGCGCUCUUCCUGCA